UGUGCAAUUGCUUGUGUCCAUCUCCUGACUCCUGCUAUUGUCCUACAUACUUCAGGGGGAGGCAGGCUUGUGGAAAUGCCACGUAAGAAGAACAGAUGAGCUCCUCGUGCUUUAGAGAUGGGAAGCACCACCCCUUGGAAGUGCUAAUGAUGAUCAUUUAUAUUCAGUAGGCAUUUUGUGGAAAAAGACUCAGAUCUCCCAUGUUCCUACUCCCUAAUCGAAGACAACAUUUACCCAGGAAGAAAUUCCACGCGCCAAAAUUUCUGCAGCCUUUGGAGAGACAGAAGCUAGCGAUCACUCAGAUUGUUAUUCCUUCCCAGCUUUGAUUUAGUACAGCACAGCCCUUCUCAGCAUCAUCUGGCCAGGAUUUGAACUCUCACUAAUGCCCAGGAGGGUCAACGUGUUAAUAUACUUAGCGUCAGUAGGGGCCGUUUCAAAUAAUGCCGCCGAUGACAGAUUGAUGUUGGUAGCUCAUUAGACAGCGCACUGACUGAGACAUCACAUUCCUUUCAACAAGACUAAGCCUGGACCAUUUGCUAUUGUGCACAGAGGGAGGAGAAAUAUUUUUCUUUUUAUCUUUCCUGCCCCUCCUGUGUCCCGGCUGCAUUUCAGAAAUGCCAGCUAUCAGACCUGUCAUCAUAUAUGGCUUUCUUAAGCUGAAUAGCUCUGUCAAAACAACCCAGGCUUCAAGCAAAACCCGAAGCAGCCUGCGUGAAAGCAUCUUACUGUUUCCACAAAAGGACGGAUGUCACAAUCCUCCCAAGGGAACUGGAUGCAAUGGAAGUAAUGGGGUCCCGCCGUCUACCAUCCACACGCAUGCUAGUAGCAGGAUCACCUUCAUAAUGUUGAAAAGUAUCGUGGAACACUACACAGAAAGAAACCCAAACGUCGUGUUUGAUUUGACAGUUGCAGGCAACCCAAUAAUAAGAGUAAUAAAAAUAAUUACCCAUAAAAUCCUGAAAUGAUCUCCAAUGAUGUUUGUUUCACGUGCAUCGCAAAGUACCCUGUGCUAACUUUGCUUUAGUAUCAAAAAUAAACAGAGAGUAAAUGA